rnacentral:misc_RNA from 1 species
GUGAAUCAUCAAAUUUUUGAACGCAAAUUGCACUCUUUUCGGAGCGUAUGACUGUUUGAGGGUCAGUCUAAAUAAACUCGACAUCGUUGCUGUUCCGCUGUGACGUUCGUCGGAAAUUGGGUUAUCUUAAACCUUUUGUUUUAAGUGACUUAGAAUUUUCCUUUUGAUUCUAUGAACGUUUCUAAGAUUUAUUUCUUUAUAAGUUCAAGUUAUUUUUUUUCAUUAGACGUGGUUGUUAUAUCUGAUGG